UCUUUCCGUCGAUCUUCUAAAGAUUGACGUCUUCUUAACAGAUUUUUCUGAAUAAGGUGGUAGCGAUGCAGAAUGCCUGAUAAGCUAAUGAGACUUCGACUUCUUGGCAUGAGCUAUGGCUCCAGUGCUGUACAAUACAGUAGGACCAUCAUCGGAAGGUGCCACUCCUAGCUUGCCAGUGAACCUAUGCAAUCACAUAGCUUCCUUGUAAGCAUCGAAUUUUGCAAUACAUUCUGCCUCGUAAUUUGAAUUUGGCUA
rnacentral:lncRNA from 1 species